UACGUAGGGUGCAAGCGUUGUCCGGAAUUAUUGGGCGUAAAGAGCUCGUAGGCGGUCUGUCGCGUCGGCUGUGAAAUCCCGGAGCUCAACUCCGGGUCUGCAGUCGAUACGGGCAGACUGGAGUUCGGCAGGGGAGACUGGAAUUCCUGGUGUAGCGGUGAAAUGCGCAGAUAUCAGGAGGAACACCGGUGGCGAAGGCGGGUCUCUGGGCCGAUACUGACGCUGAGACCCGAAAGCGUGGGGAGCGAACAGG
rnacentral:rRNA from 1 species